rnacentral:lncRNA from 1 species
UGGAAAUAUAGAAAUUUUUUUAAUGGAAUUCUGCAAAUAGGUCGAUGGGGAAAAUGAAACUCCCCACCUUGGAAUAGAAAUGAUGUUUACUCUUUUGUCAACAAAAAAGUUAUUAUACAGUAAAUAGAGGAUUUCCUAAUUCUAUUAUUUUAUCUAUCAAUCAGAAAAGCGAAGCCAGUUCCAUUACGUAUUGAUUGGUGAACUAAUCAAUAUCAAAUAUGAAAGGGAAAUCGUUAAAUUAUUCAAUUAGAUAAUAAGUGAAUAAUUUAAGAAUAAUUGAAUUCUUUUUUCAAGUUGAUUCAAAUUAUUCGAACGUUUUAUUACUUAUUUAUUUUUGUUUGGCGUACAAAAAAACUUUUUGAAUUCNN